rnacentral:rRNA from 1 species
UUCGAGCGGCGGACGGGUGAGUAACGACGUGAGCAACCUCGUCCUUCACAGGGGGAUAACACAGCGAAAGUUGUACUAAUACCGCAUGAGACCACAUUGGGACAUCCCAGAGGGGUCAAAGGAGCAAUCCGGUGAAGGGUGGGCUCGCGUCCGAUUAGAUAGUUGGUGAGGUAACGGCCCACCAAGUCGACGAUCGGUAGCCGACCUGAGAGGGUGAUCGGCCACAUUGGGACUGAGACACGGCCCAAACUCCUACGGGAGGCAGCAGUGGGGAAUAUUGGGCAAUGGGGGGAAACCCUGACCCAGCAACGCCGCGUGAGGGAAGAAGGUUUUCGGAUCGUAAACCUCUGUCCUUGGUGAAGAGUGAGAGACGGUAGCCAAGGAGGAAGCCCCGGCUAACUACGUGCCAGCCGCGGC